AUUUAUCCGAGCUGUGCCCUGUCAGGAUAUCAAUCUGCUGCUGCUGCCUCAAUUCCUGGAGCAACCUUUACUUUUGCCCCUUCUGCAUCAGUUCUUAAGCUACUCUUUCAGUUCUGUGAGCCACACUCUAGCUUUGUGAUAAAUCCCCUUUUUGGUUGAGCUAGCCAGGGUGAAGUUCAAUAAUUUGUAACCAAAGAAUCCCAUCAGAUAUGAGUAGCAACACUGACGUCCAUCCCAUAGAGUGUGACAGACCUUCCUGGAUCAUCUUGAGCACCCCAGGAUAUCUCUUCCUUCAGAACUGCUUAAGGAAGUGGAGAGGCUACACAGACCCAGGCUCCCACGAACCCCCUGUGCCCCCUGGUUUUCGGCAAUGUCGCUCUUUGGCCCAGCAGCCCAAGCCCCGGCCCAGGCAUCCCGGCCCUGUUAGGUGCAGCUGGUCUCGGGCCCGUCUCAGCCAAAGCCAAAACAAAGUGACCUGCCACUGGUGGCUGUGCUAAAAAUAAGGAGCCCACACACUACGCCCUUUGAGCAAGCAGGUCACGCAGCAGGAGAUUUCUGUGGGGUGAAGCCUGGGAGAUGAAGGGAAAGAGUCACGGAGGAGCUGAAAGCUGCACAACCGCAGUGAACCAGAGAUGUAGGAAUCCAUGGUGAAGUUGCCAACUGAAAAUUAAAAUUGUCUUUUCAGAAGGCCUGGAUGGGGGGCCACA
rnacentral:lncRNA from 12 species